UGGCCGGUUGCGGGGGGGCUUACCAUGCAAGUCGAACGAUGAAGCCCAGCUUGCUGGGUGGAUUAGUGGCGAACGGGUGAGUAACACGUGAGUAACCUGCCCUUGACUCUGGGAUAAGCCUGGGAAACUGGGUCUAAUACCGGAUAGGAACGUCCACCGCAUGGUGGUUGUUGGAAAGAUUUAUCGGUCAUGGAUGGACUCGCGGCCUAUCAGCUUGUUGGUGAGGUAAUGGCUCACCAAGGCGACGACGGGUAGCCGGCCUGAGAGGGUGACCGGCCACACUGGGACUGAGACACGGCCCAGACUCCUACGGGAGGCAGCAGUGGGGAAUAUUGCACAAUGGGCGAAAGCCUGAUGCAGCGACGCCGCGUGAGGGAUGACGGCCUUCGGGUUGUAAACCUCUUUCAGUAGGGAAGAAGCGAAAGUGACGGUACCUGCAGAAGAAGCACCGGCUAACUACGUGCCAGCAGCCGCGGUAAUACGUAGGGUGCGAGCGUUAUCCGGAAUUAUUGGGCGUAAAGAGCUCGUAGGCGGUUUGUCGCGUCUGUCGUGAAAGUCCGGGGCUUAACCCCGGAUCUGCGGUGGGUACGGGCAGACUAGAGUGCAGUAGGGGAGACUGGAAUUCCUGGUGUAGCGGUGGAAUGCGCAGAUAUCAGGAGGAACACCGAUGGCGAAGGCAGGUCUCUGGGCUGUAACUGACGCUGAGGAGCGAAAGCAUGGGGAGCGAACAGGAUUAGAUACCCUGGUAGUCCAUGCCGUAAACGUUGGGCACUAGGUGUGGGGACCAUUCCACGGUUUCCGCGCCGCAGCUAACGCAUUAAGUGCCCCGCCUGGGGAGUACGGCCGCAAGGCUAAAACUCAAAGGAAUUGACGGGGGCCCGCACAAGCGGCGGAGCAUGCGGAUUAAUUCGAUGCAACGCGAAGAACCUUACCAAGGCUUGACAUGUUCUCGAUCGCCGUAGAGAUACGGUUUCCCCUUUGGGGCGGGAUCACAGGUGGUGCAUGGUUGUCGUCAGCUCGUGUCGUGAGAUGUUGGGUUAAGUCCCGCAACGAGCGCAACCCUCGUUCCAUGUUGCCAGCACGUCAUGGUGGGGACUCAUGGGAGACUGCCGGGGUCAACUCGGAGGAAGGUGGGGACGACGUCAAAUCAUCAUGCCCCUUAUGUCUUGGGCUUCACGCAUGCUACAAUGGCCGGUACAAUGGGUUGCGAUACUGUGAGGUGGAGCUAAUCCCAAAAAGCCGGUCUCAGUUCGGAUUGGGGUCUGCAACUCGACCCCAUGAAGUCGGAGUCGCUAGUAAUCGCAGAUCAGCAACGCUGCGGUGAAUACGUUCCCGGGCCUUGUACACACCGCCCGUCAAGUCACGAAAGUCGGUAACACCCGAAGCCGGUGGCCUAACCCUUGUGGGGGAGCCGUCGAAGGUGAGCCCGGA
rnacentral:rRNA from 1 species